CAGCAGCCGCGGUAAUACAGAGGGUGCGAGCGUUAAUCGGAUUUACUGGGCGUAAAGCGUGCGUAUGCGGCUUUUUAAGUCGGAUGUGAAAUCCCUGAGCUUAACUUAGGAAUUGCAUUCGAUACUGGGAAGCUAGAGUAUGGGAGAGGAUGGUAGAAUUCCAGGUGUAGCGGUGAAAUGCGUAGAGAUCUGGAGGAAUACCGAUGGCGAAGGCAGCCAUCUGGCCUAAUACUGACGCUGAGGUACGAAAGCAUGGGGAGCAAACAGGAUUAGAUACCCCAGUAGUCCCUGUAUCUUAUAC
rnacentral:rRNA from 1 species